rnacentral:rRNA from 1 species
AAGCCCUUUUAUGGGGGAAGAGACUGACGACGGUACCCCAAGAAUAAGUCCCGGCUAACUACGUGCCAGCAGUCGCUGUACAACGUACGGGACAAGCGUUCUCCGGAUUUACUGGGCGUACACAGCGUUGAGGCUGUUCCGUAAGUUGCGCGUUAAAGUCCCGGGCUCAACUCGGGGAGGUCGUUCAAUACUGCGGAACUUGAGGGCAGCAGAGGGAGGCGUGAAUUCCCGGUGUAGCGGUGACAUGCGUAGAUAUCGGGAGGAACCCAUUGGCGAAUGCGGCCUCCUGGGCUAGCUCCUGACUCUGAACGCGAAAGCUAGGGGAGCGAACGGGAUUAGAAACCCCGGUAUGUCCUAGCCGUAAACGAUGGAUGCUGGGUGUGGCGGGUAUAGAUUCCCUUCCGUGCCGAAGCUAACGCGUUAAGCAUCCCGCCUGGGGACUACGGCAGCAAGGCUAUAACUCAAACGAAUUGACGGGUCCCCGCACAAGCAGCGGAGCGUGUGGUUUAAUUCGAUGCUACACGAAGAACCUUACCUGGGUUUGACAUGCAAGUAGUAGUGAAGCGAAAGCGG